GCUCACUCCGCCGCCUCCUCUCCUCUCGCGAGCCCCUCCAAAGCCCUAGCAGCACCGCCAUGGACGUCGCCGGCGCCGGCUCCGGCCACCGCAGCCGCGGACGGUCAGAGGCCUCGUGAAGGAGCACAUCGAGUCCUUCAACUACUUCAUCACCAAAGGAAUGGAGAACAUUGUGAAGGCAAAUGACCGUAUUGAGGCGCUCGAAGACCCAUCCAUUUGGCUUAGGUACACUGGAAUACGUGUCGGCGUGCCCUCGAUACGCUCAGACUUUAGCACUGAGGCGCUCACACCGCAAGUUUGCCGCCUUAUUGAUCGCACUUACUCUGCUCCUGUAACCGUUGGUAUUGAAUACACCACAAAAGUUCGAGGGACAACAUCAUAUCCACAGCAGGGAAGUGCCAUCAUUGGGUACAUGCCUAUUAUGCUUAGAAGUCGUGCCUGUGUUUUGAAUGGAAAGGAUGAAGAUGAACUAGCAAGAUAUGGUGAGUGCCCUCUUGAUCCUGGUGGUUACUUCAUUGUGAAAGGAAAUGAGAAGGUCCUUCUUAUACAAGAACAACUAUCAAAGAAUCGUAUCAUUAUUGAGACCGACAGUAAAGGAAG
rnacentral:rRNA from 1 species